rnacentral:rRNA from 1 species
CCCUUAGAUGUCCGGGGCCGCACGCGCGCUACACUGAAGGAAUCAGCGUGGCUUUCUCCCUGACCCGAAAGGGUUGGGAAACCCGUUGAAUCUCCUUCGUGAUAGGGAUUGGGGCUUGAAAUUGUUCCCCAUGAACGAGGAAUUCCCAGUAAGCGCGAGUCAUAAGCUCGCGUUGAUUACGUCCCUGCCCUUUGUACACACCGCCCGUCGCUACUACCGAUUGAACGGUUUAGUGAGGGUCUCGGAUUGGUCUCGGCCCGCUCUUUACCGGGCGGCGCCGUUGGUCGAGAAGACGCUCGAACUUGAUCGUUUAGAGGAAGUAAAAGUCGUAACA